ACCUAUAAAUUCUGCCGUUGUGAUCCUCCAUUUUUGUAUAACAUUUCUAAAACAUAACAAUAAGCCACAGAGAUUUGGGGUUUCUGUUCUGUGGAGCAAUGAAACAAAACUGGAACAUUUUAAUCCUAUGGAUCAGUGGUAUGUCUGGAGGAAGAAGAAUUAAGCAUAUGCUGAAAAGAACACUCUUCCUACAGUUAAGCAUGGUAGUAGCUUGGUGAUGCUCUG